GAUGAAGAACGUAGCGAAAUGCGAUAAGUAAUGUGAAUUGCAGAAUUCAGUGAAUCAUCGAAUCUUUGAACGCACCUUGCGCUCUUUGGUAUUCCGAAGAGCAUGCCUGUUUGAGUGUCAUGAAAAUAUCAACCUUGACUUGGGUUUUGUGCUCUAGUCUCGGCUUGGAAUUGGGUGCUUGCCGCUUUUACGAGCGGCUCACCUUAAAUGUAUUAGCUGGAUCUGUCUUUGAGACUUGGUUUGACUUGGCGUAAUAAGUAUUUCGCUAAGGACAUUCUUCGGAGUGGCCUCGUUUCUAGGACGCUUGUCCGCUUUCCAAUACAAGUUCCACCUCGUGGACAUGACUUUUUAUUAUCUGGCCUCAUAUCAGGUAGGACUACCCGCUGAACUUAAGCAUAUCAAUAAGCGGAGGA
rnacentral:misc_RNA from 1 species